CCUCUCUAUUUGUCUUUUUCUCAGGAUUGCAACCACAUGAGGCGACCCACAAAAUGACGUCACAUACGCGACGCUGAGGUUAGGUCCACAAUCGGUGCCUCCAGUGGACGCUGAUAUCAUCUACGCCAAUCUGGCAUUAGAAAACAGGAAUGAGAUCGGCCGCGAAGCCCGAGGGAGCGAUGGUCCUGUCUACGCCACAGUCAGGGUUUAAUGCAGAGGCCAGUGGCCAUGGGUUGCUUUUUCUCCUCGCCCUAUCAACUCAUCACCACUUAUAUUGAUAUCCAGCUUCAGUUUCACUUCAAUGGGGCUCUCAUUUCUCCUGUCUCCCUGACGGAGAUAGAGACUGAGUUAGAGAUUGAGAUAGAAUGACUGAGGCAGAGACUGAGUAAGGGAGAGCCACUGAGUCAGAGACUGUAUGAGAGAAAGGUAAAGGGAGACGGAGUCAGGGAUGGAGAGACUGAAUAUGAGGGACGGUGUGAGAGAUUCAGAGAAGGACUGAGACAGGGAGAGAACUUCAGUGAGACAAAGUGAACGAGAGUGAUUGAAUGAGACUGAGGGAGAUACUGAGUGAGUGACUGAAAAAGAGAGACCGAGAGAGAGAGAGACUCAGUGAGAGUCAGAGGCUGAUGAUAGUGUGUGAGAGGGCAGAUGGAGAGUGCGUGUCGGAAAUAGCGGGAGUGACAGAAUGUAAUAGAGAGAGAGGGGAAGACAGUGAUUGUGAGAGGAGUAAACUGAUAGUUUUGAUUGAGAAACAAAAGGGGCAGGGUGUGUGGGUUUUGUGAGAGAAGGAGAGAGUGAUUGAGAGAGGACGUCUCACAGAGAAAUAAACAGUUGUGCCACAGAAGGAGAGAGACAGGGGUAGAAGUUGGAGAUUGAGAUCGGGAAGAGUGAGAGUGUGACUGAGAGAUACAUUGUGGUGGAGACGUGGUUGGGGGAGAACGAGGAGGAACCAUGGAGGAAAAGAGUUUGAAAGCGGCGAGAGAGUGUGUGAGUGGCGAUGGGGUGGUAAAGAUAGUGAGUGAGAGAAAGUAACCGAGUGACGCCGAAAGAUGAGAAAAGAGUAUGAAA